UGUGUGUGUAUAAAUAUCUAUUUAUACAUACAUAUUAGGACUACCUAAGACAGACAUCAUAAAUCUGUGUACGUGUCACCAGUUUUAGCGUCAUUAUAUUGGUUACUCGUGUCAUUUAGAAUUGACUUUAAAAUACUACAACAGAUAGUCCCCUGCUUAUGAACUUUUGAGAUGUGAACUUUCAUAUAUAUGAACAAAGUGGUCCUCAAGUCCAAAAUUAGCACUUAAGGAUAAUUCACAUGUCUGCCAAAUGGUGGCAUCAGGGGUGGGAAGAUCUU